AGAGAUGAGGAAGGGAAAGGAAAGGAAAGGAAAGAAAGGGAAAGGAAAGAAAGGGAAGGAAAGGGAAGGGAUGAGGAAGGGAAGGGAAUUCCAGGAGAGAAAUGGACCAAUAUACUUCUCAGAACUUUUCCCCGUGUAAGGAUGGAAGUAUAAAAACAUCAAAUACAUUUUUAAAAAAACUUGAACGUAUGGAUCGGUUUUAACAUGCAGCAGAGUUAUCCAUGAUGAUGCUAUUGGUUUAGCAGAAAUAGACACAGAGAUUGAGCAAAUAGGAUGGAGGAGUGGAGACAACCAGAUUCAACACCAUGCUGAGAUGCAGAAAACUACAAACCACCCAGAAGCAAGAGACUGGA